UUCUGUAAGCCUGCGAAGGUGUGCUGUGAGGCAUGCUGGAGGUAUCAGAAGUGCGAAUGCUGACAUAAGUAACGAUAAAGCGGGUGAAAAGCCCGCUCGCCGGAAGACCAAGGGUUCCUGUCCAACGUUAAUCGGGGCAGGGUGAGUCGACCCCUAAGGCGAGGCCGAAAGGCGUAGUCGAUGGGAAACAGGUUAAUAUUCCUGUACUUGGUGUUACUGCGAAGGGGGGACGGAGAAGGCUAUGUUGGCCGGGCGACGGUUGUCCCGGUUUAAGCGUGUAGGUGUGUGUUCCAGGUAAAUCCGGUUCACUUUAACACUGAGGCGUGAUGACGAGGCACUACGGUGCUGAAGUAACAAAUGCCCUGCUUCCAGGAAAAGCCUCUAAGCAUCAGGUAACAUCAAAUCGUACCCCAAACCGACACAGGUGGUCAGGUAGAGAAUACCAAGGCGCUUGAGAGAACUCGGGUGAAGGAACUAGGCAAAAUGGUGCCGUAAC
rnacentral:rRNA from 1 species